rnacentral:rRNA from 1 species
UACAGAGGUCUCAAGCGUUGUUCGGAUUCAUUGGGCGUAAAGGGUGCGUAGGCGGCUUGCUAAGUCUGAUGUGAAAUCCCGGGGCUCAACCCCGGAACUGCAUUGGAUACUGGCGGGCUUGAGCACUGGAGAGGGAACUGGAAUUUACGGUGUAGCAGUGAAAUGCGUAGAGAUCGUAAGGAAGACCAGUGGCGAAGGCGAGUUCCUGGACAGUUGCUGACGCUGAGGCACGAAGGCCAGGGGAGCAAACGGG